UAGUGAGUAAAUAGUAAACUUGUUCUCUAGACAAAAUUUAUCAUAAUAUACCAAUGUGUACACGAUAAUACCAUAUGCAAGUGGGAAUCAUGAACAUAGAUUAAGUAUUUGGAGUAUUGUGCAAAUUCAAGUCACAGUUACUUCUAACAAUGUGGAGAAUCAAAAGCUUAAUCUUACAGGCAGAAUGUCUAUUUUUCUCGAAGAGUGAACUAGGUGUAUCUACAACUUUAACAACGUCACUACACUCUGAAGGGGAUGUACCUAACAGGGCACCAUGGCACAAAGCACAUACUGCUUUUGAC